rnacentral:rRNA from 1 species
AUAUCGCGAGGUGUCAGCCGCCGCGGUAAUACGUAGGGGGCAAGCGUUAUCCGGAUUUACUGGGUGUAAAGGGAGCGGUAGACGGCAAGGCAAGUCUGUAAAGUGAAAGCCCGGGGACUUAACCCGCGGGACUGCCUUUGGAAACUGUCUGGACUGGAGUGCCGGAGAGGUAAGGCGGAAUUCCGUAGUUGUAGCGGUGAAAUAGCGUAGAUAUUAGGAGGAACACCAGUGGCGAAGGCGGCUUACUGGACGGUAACGUGACGUUGAGGCUCGAAAGCGUGGGGAGACAAACAGGGAUUAGAUACCCGUGGUAGUCCACCG